rnacentral:rRNA from 1 species
UACGAAGGGGGCUAGCGUUGCUCGGAAUUACUGGGCGUAAAGCGCACGUAGGCGGUCUUUAAAGUCGGUGGUGAAAUCCUGGAGCUCAACUCCAGAACUGCCUUCGAUACUGGAAGACUUGAGUCCGGGAGAGGUGAGUGGAACUGCGAGUGUAGAGGUGAAAUUCGUAGAUAUUCGCAAGAACACCAGUGGCGAAGGCGGGUCUCUGGGCCGAUACUGACGCUGAGGAGCGAAAGCGUGGGGAGCGAACAGG